rnacentral:rRNA from 1 species
UAGUCCACGCCGUAAACGAUGUCAACUAGCUGUUGGGUAUUAAUAUUUAGUGGCGCAGUUAACGCGAUAAGUUCUCCGCCUGGGGAGUACGGCCGCAAGGUUAAAACUCAAAUGAAUUGACGGGGGCCCGCACAAGCGGUGGAGCAUGUGGUUUAAUUCGAUGCAACGCGAAGAACCUUACCUACCCUUGACAUCCUGCGAAUCCUGUAGAGAUACGGGAGUGCCUUCGGGAAUGCAGAGACAGGUGCUGCAUGGCUGUCGUCAGCUCGUGUUGUGAAAUGUUGGGUUAAGUCCCGUAACGAGCGCAACCCUUGUCCUUAGUUGCCAUCAUUUAGUUGGGGACUCUAAGGAGACUGCCGGUGACAAACCGGAGGAAGGUAAGGAUGACGUCAAGUCAGCAUGCCCCUUAUGCUCUGGGCUACACACGUGCUACAAUGGCCGUGACAAAGAGUUGCUACUUUGUGAAAACAAGCUAAUCUCAUAAAACGUUUCGUAGUCCGGAUUGGAGUCUGCAA